rnacentral:rRNA from 1 species
GAUGAACGCUGACAGAAUGCUUAACACAUGCAAGUCUUUGGCGAAGCUGUGCUUGCACAGCCUAGCCAAGGCGGACGGGUGAGUAACGCGUAAGGAACUUGCCCUGCAGUCAGGGAUAACAGACGGAAACGACUGAUAAGACCUGGUAAAGUCAGGCGGACUCAUGUCCAGCCUGAUGAAAAGAGAUGCUGCAGGAGAGCCUUGCGUCCUUUUAGCUUGUUGGUGGGGUAACGGCCCACCAAGGCGAUGAUAGGUAGCCGGCCUGAGAGGGUGGACGGCCACAAGGGGACUGAGAUACGGCCCUUACUCCUACGGGAGGCAGCAGUGGGGAAUAUUGGACAAUGGGGGCAACCCUGAUCCAGCAAUUCUGUGUGCACGAUGAAGGUUUUCGGAUUGUAAAGUGCUUUCAGCAGGGAAGAAAAAAAUGACGGUACCUGCAGAAGAAGCGACGGCUAAAUACGUG